GCGGGAAUAGCUCAGUUGGCAAGAGCGUCAGCCUUCCAAGCUGAGGGUCGCGGGUUCGAGUCCCGUUUCCCGCU
rnacentral:tRNA from 1 species